UUUACCUAGUUUAAGGGCCCAAGAUUAGGUAUAACCAUUAUUUUGAAGGUGGUUUUUGCAUCUUGAAUUUCAAAAGAGUGACUCUUCAUUUGCUGUGGUGCUUCAGUUCCUGGCGACGGUUCAUGGGAUGUUCACCUAUGUGUUUCAAGUAAUCUUUACUUUGAUUUCUUAGGAGCUAUCCCACUGUCUUUCUAUUCAUAUUCUUUUCUCACUAUGAGUUCUAGUCGUCAAUCCAAGGGUAAGUCUCCUGUCGAGUUCCAAAACUGUGAGGAUGACUGAGCGGGAUGUGAGGAUGACAACUGUAUUUUGGGGGUGGGUUCUGAGUCCGACUCUGAGGAUGAAGCCAGCCUACUCCAAUGGAGAUUCCAAGGGGUUAUUGCUUUAGGCAGCCGAGGUUAAUCUUCCUCUGGUUUUUCGAUUCCCCAACUGCGCAAUGAGACUACACCCGAAUAGUCUCUCGAGGUUAGGAGGACAAAGGCUAACCCAAUUUCGCCCUCGUUAGGGAAGUGUAUCUUCUCGCUCCCAUCAAACUGACUCUAUUGUUUGUCCUCGUCAAGGGAAUGUGAGGGUGCUAGACUUGAGCUCUAUACUGCCCGAGCAUGAUUUGGCUAGUAUUCGGGCUCGCUAUCUUAUUCCUGACGAGUACCAAAUUAGCAUUCCGCCAUAUAAGAUGAGAGCAAAUGCCAACCUUGACAAAAAACUGUCAUUGUCAACGCUGAGGAUUAUCGAGUUGGUGUUCGUUUCCCUCUUCAAAGGAUCUUGUCCGAGUUUUGCAACGACUGGGAGGUGACAAUUGGACAGAUUGCUCCCAACAACAUUCAGAUGAUUUUGGGAGCUUCCAUUGUGGCUAAGCAGCAAGGUUUUGAGCUCAAUGUACAUCAGUUACAUAGCAUGUUUAACUUUUUCUGGAGGGGCCUCGAAGACCAUCCCCAUCUCAUUACUCAGAAAGAUUAUAACAUUUUCCCUUUGAAGAGUACUUUUCUGAAGGGGUGGUGGAAAGAGAAGUUCUUCCUUGUUGGUCACCUUCAAGGGUUUGGGAUACAGAGUCUGAAAUGCUAUGCUCGUAACACUCCUCCUCUUGUUCCUUUGUUGGAUGUGAACAUCCCUCUAAGUCUUAAAGCUUAGCCCUCAAGGAAAGGGAGGGCUCGGGAGUUUGAGGAUAUGGCUCCAAAACUAUCAAAGGAUAUGAGGAUUCGCCUAACGGCAAAUUGAGAUCAUAGACUGGCCAUUAGGUUUGGUCAGACUCUUGGAAGGGGCUUAAGUGCGCCUCGACCUAUUUUGAGACGUUCUGGGGUGCCCGUCACAGUGUCGCCUGUGUGUACUUUAGUGGUUCUGCCACCUACUAAAACUUCUCAUUCCAUUGUUUUGGAUGCUCUAUGAACUUCUUGUUGGUUUGAAAACCACCAAGCCUAAAAGAAGAAGAAAGCGGCAGUGAGGGGGUGACAAUAAGCCCCAUUCUCCUAUCUCAGAGAAGGGCUUGGAGCUAUAGACCACCUUGAGGAGAACGUAUGGCAAAGAGGCUUUGGUGAGUGGUGGGGAAGUCGCUCGGUCUCUGGCUAGUCAAUGCAUUCUCCCUACGAAUUUGACUUGCUUAGAAGGUUUGGGGGAGGAUUCUUCCCUAAAUCAAAUUGACAGUGGACUUCUGAUGUUGGUGAGUGCUCACAACAAGACCCGUUAGCGGAUGAGAGAAUUAGAAGAAUUGGUUAUUACCUUGAUUGAGGACGUAAGGGCCGAGAAGCCUAAACUUGAGAAGCUGGAGAACUCUAUUUUGUCUUAGAUAAUGGAGCAUAGUCGCUUUGUGGGCGAGCUUAAGGAUAAGAUAUGAGCUAUCUCUUAGGAGAGUGAUGCACAACUUUGACUCCUCUCUCAAGCUGAGUUCUCAGGUGGAGCAAUUGGUUAAGCAAAGGGAGGAUGAUGCUGUGAGCAUUUGUCAACUUCAUGCGGACUUCACCCAAGCUAAAGUUCGUUGCUACUAAGGCCACUCGAUCUGUGAAUGACAUGUUGAUACUUCAUCUGACUUGAUCUUGGAUGAGCUUAAAUCACGAUUCCCCAAGGACUGGGGUUUUAUUAUCCAGAUUGAUGUAUAUCAGCAUUUGGGUGAUGAAGAGGAUUUGGCUAUAGAGGGGCAUCUUUAGGGGAAGGUUGUGCAUGAUUCAGUUGGGGGGAUCGUGUGGCACUAGAUGCGUUCGAGGCCAUUGGUCCUACUAGAUUACCAGUAGUUGAGGACGAGCCUCAUUUCUUUAUGCUUGAGGCGGAGGAUUAACCUCCCAUAGAGUAGCUUUCUUAAUAUUUUUUGUUGUUUAUUUUUUUUUAAUAAUGCUUUGUAAUAUAUAAAAGAACUUCCAAUUCUCUUCUCUGGUA